AUUGAACGCUGGCGGCAUGCCUUACACAUGCAAGUCGAACGGUAACGGGCCUUCGGGUGCCGACGAGUGGCGAACGGGUGAGUAAUGUAUCGGAACGUACCUUUCAGUGGGGAUAACGUAGCGAAAGUUACGCUAAUACCGCAUAUUCUGUGAGCAGGAAAGCAGGGGAUCGCAAGACCUUGCGCUGAUUGAGCGGCCGAUAUCAGAUUAGCUAGUUGGUGAGGUAAAGGCUCACCAAGGCGACGAUCUGUAGCGGGUCUGAGAGGAUGAUCCGCCACACUGGAACUGAGACACGGUCCAGACUCCUACGGGAGGCAGCAGUGGGGAAUUUUGGACAAUGGGCGCAAGCCUGAUCCAGCAAUGCCGCGUGCAGGAUGAAGGCCUCGGUGUAACUGCUUUGUACGUAGCGAACGCGUCUCUUUAAUACGGGGGCGUAAGUGAGGUACCGUAAGAAUAAGAACCGGCUAACUACGUAGCCAGCAGCCGAC
rnacentral:rRNA from 1 species